UGGGGAAUCUUGCACAAUGGGGGCAACCCUGAUGCAGCGACGCCGCGUGAGCGAUGAAGCCCUUCGGGGCGUUAAGCUCUUUCGACCGGAACGAUAAUGACGGUACCGGGAGAAGAAGCUGCGGCUAACUACGUGCCAGCAGCCGCGGUAAUACGUAGGCAGCAAGCGUUGUUCGGAGUUACUGGGCGUAAAGAGUGCGUAGGCGGUUUUCUAAGUUCGGUGUGAAAUCUCCCGGCUUAACUGGGAGGGUGCGCCGAAGACUGGGAAGCUGGAGUGUGGGAAAGGCAGGCGGAAUUCCUGGUGUAGCGGUGAAAUGCGUAGAUAUCAGGAGGAACACCGGCGGUGUAGACGGAUUGCUAGACCAUAACUGACGCUGAGGCACGAAAGCGUGGGUAGCAAACA
rnacentral:rRNA from 1 species